GGAGGGAUGCCAGAGUGGCUGAAUGGGCUUGCUUGGAAAGCAAGUGUAUCUGAAAGGAUACCGUGAGUUCGAAUCUCACUCCCUCCG
rnacentral:tRNA from 1 species